UAUGAUGUCUCCGACGGUCAAAGGCCGAUUGGCUCUUAGCUAGAGAGAAAGACGCCCAUAACCAGCAUGGCUUUGAAAACCGUGUUCUAGAGAGGAACAAGAGAAGUUUUAACAGUCAUCUAGAACCAUCCUCACUUGCAGAGCACGUGCCUGAGUCCCACUAAACUAGACUAAGGAAACCGUUAGCACGUGUGAGCGAAGUCGUCAUUUCACACCGCACCGUCGCCGCCGCACCUGUUCCGUCCGCAAGCGGCAGCAAUCCCAUGUUAGGGUCAUCGAUCGAGUGAAGCAGCUCGGGUGGGAGAUCCGGCGAGUCCUCCGGGAAGCCAAGAUGAUGAGGAAAUCGCGGCCGGGCGAGGGCGACCUCGAUCGCCUGCUACUAGUCAGCGGUGACCGAGGGGGCCUCUCGUUCGUUGUUCGUUCGAAGGAAACCGCUUCGGCAAAUAGGUGGUCUCCUUAUCUCCUCGUGACAACAGAGCUGGAGCUUUUAGUGUAGCCUGAGCUUGCUGAGAUAUCACGAAGGUGAUUACAAUGUUGCUUCAAUUUUAUGGAUCUGUUAACAGCUGCAAUAGCUUCCAAUAUUAAGCGGAUUUGCAUCUCUUAUUCAAUUUGGUCUGAAUUUACUGUUCCAAUAUCACAACUAGAUGCAAAUUUUUCUGUCUUUAUUCAGAAUUUUUUUGGAAAGAAUUUGUCCAAAGUAAAUAUACAAGUCAAGUUCAUAAACUGCUACAAUAUUUAGAGAGUUAAUUGAGUUUGGAUUUGCGUGAUGUGAAA